AGGCGGGAACGCAAGUCAGGCGUGAAAACUAUGGGCUCAACCCAUAGCCUGCGUUUGAAACUGUAUUUCUUGAGUGAUGGAGAGGCAGGCGGAAUUCCUCGUGUAGCGGUGAAAUGCAUAGAUAUGAGGAGGAACACCAGUGGCGAAGGCGGCCUGCUGGACAUUAACUGACGCUGAGGCGCGAAAGCGUGGGGAGCAAACAGGAUUAGAUACCCUGGUAGUCCACGCUGUAAACGAUGGAUACUAGGUGUGGGGGGUCUGACCCCCUCCGUGCCGGAGUUAACACAAUAAGUAUCCCACCUGGGGAGUACGAUCGCAAGGUUGAAACUCAAAGGAAUUGACGGGGGCCCGCACAAGCGGUGGAUUAUGUGGUUUAAUUCGAAGCAACGCGAAGAACCUUACCAGGGCUUGACAUCCUACUAACGAAGCAGAGAUGCAUUAGGUGCCCUUCGGGGAAAGUAGAGACAGGUGGUGCAUGGUUGUCGCCAGCUCGUGUCGUGAGAUGUUGGGUCAAGUCCCGCAACGAGCGCAACCCUUAUUGCUAGUUGCUACGCA
rnacentral:rRNA from 1 species